rnacentral:rRNA from 1 species
GACGAACGCUGGCGGCGUGCCUAAUACAUGCAAGUUGAGCGAUGAAGAUUGGUGCUUGCACCAAUUUGAAGAGCAGCGAACGGGUGAGUAACGCGUGGGGAAUCUGCCUUUGAGCGGGGGACAAAAUUUGGAAACGAAUGCUAAUACCGCAUAACAACUUUAAACAUAAGUUUUAAGUUUGAAAGAUGAAAUUGCAUCACUCAAAGAUGAUCCCGCGUUGUAUUAGCUAGUUGGUGAGGUAAAGGCUCACCAAGGCGAUGAUACAUAGCCGACCUGAGAGGGUGAUCGGCCACAUUGGGACUGAGACACGGCCCAAACUCCUACGGGAGGCAGCAGUAGGGAAUCUUCGGCAAUGGACGAAAGUCUGACCGAGCAACGCCGCGUGAGUGAAGAAGGUUUUCGGAUCGUAAAACUCUGUUGGUAGAGAAGAACGUUGGUGAGAGUGGAAAGCUCAUCAAGUGACGGUAACUACCCAGAAAGGGACGGCUAACUACGUG